ACUCMUACGGGAGGCAGCAGUGGGGAAUAUUGCACAAUGGGCGAAAGCCUGAUGCAGCAACGCCGCGUGAGGGACGACGGCCUUCGGGUUGUAAACCUCUUUUAGUAGGGAAGAAGCGAAAGUGACGGUACCUGCAGAAAAAGCACCGGCUAACUACGUGCCAGCAGCCGCGGUAAUACGUAGGGUGCWAGCGUUGUCCGGAAUUAUUGGGCGUAAAGAGCUCGUAGSCGGUUUGUCGCGUCUGCUGUGAAAACCCGAGGCUCAACCUCGGGCCUGCAGUGGGUACGGGCAGACUAGAGUGCGGUAGGGGAGAUUGGAAUUCCUGGUGUAGCGGUGGAAUGYGCAGAUAUCAGGAGGAACACCAAUGGYGAAGGCWGAUYUCUGGSCCGUAACUGACGCUGAGGAGCSAAAGCAUGGGGAGCGAACAGGAUUAGMUACCCUGGUAGUSCAUGCCGUAAACGUUGGGAACUAGAUGUGGGGWCCAUUCCACGGUCUCCGUGUCGCAGCUAACGCAUUAAGUUCCCCGCCUGGGGAGUACGGCCSCAAGGCUAAAACUCAAAGSAAUUGACGG
rnacentral:rRNA from 1 species